CUGGGUUGUCCCAAGACGUUGGAGAUAAUUCAGCCUUCCAAGAGAACAGCAGUCUAGAUCUUAGCUGAAAAUGUGCUGUUUCUAAAGGAAGCUUCUUAAGUCUCAGGGGACAUUAGCAUCUUCAUAAUUUCCAUAUAUAAUAAGAAUGAAGGCUGUUUCAUUGGUCGUAUAAAAACAACCUUCUUCGAAGUUGAAUGUAUGUUUCUGCACAUAGACAAACCAUAUUUUACUGACUCAUUCUAUGUUGAAUAAAGGCAUACAGUUU
rnacentral:lncRNA from 1 species